rnacentral:lncRNA from 1 species
CAGCACUAGGGACACCAAGGACGGCCAUGCCUGAGUGACCCGCACCACAGACGGCCUGGCACAGCCCAAAUGGGGGCUCCCGAAGAGGGACAAGAUGGCAUUUGUUGUCAAAUCUAGGCAAGCUUGGUCAAGCCCCUCUGCCUUGGCUGGUUUAGCACGGCAGUUGGGUGCAGAGCCUGGCUUUGAGGAGGGAGAAACCCUUCUUUCUAGCUAAGGUGCAUUCUCAGGCGACGCCUUCUGCGUGUAUCCCUGUGUGAUGCAGGGGCCAAGGGCAUCACCCGUCCUCCACUCCAUAAGGAGCCUGAAGCUGGGGUGCCCAGCCGCUGGCUCCACAUCCCACAGCUGAGCUCCCCCGACCCAGGGGCCAUGUGCGAAGCAAACCCAGCAGGGAAGUGAGAGGAAGGAAGAUACCCCAGCUAGCCCUAAUGUGGUGGCUGCCCCCGGAGCUGUGUGCGAGGGGCCUAAGGGAGGUGCAGAAGGCUGGGAAGAACUGCAGCAGAGGGACAGGCUGAAGUUUGCAGAGAAGGAUCCAGGGACCAGGAAACCAUCACAGGGUGAGGACUCGGAAGGUGGAGAGCUCUGUUCCAGUCUAGAUUCCUGUCCAAUCAAUGGUGUGAUUCUUGGGCGACAACAACCUGAAGUCACGCCAGGGGGUUCCCUGGACAAAGGGCAGAGGCCCCCCGA